rnacentral:rRNA from 1 species
GACGAACGCUGGCGGCGUGCUUUACACAUGCAAGUCGAACGAUGAAGUUCCUUCGGGAAUGGAUUAGUGGCGAACGGGUGAGGAACACGUGAGAAAUCUGCCCUUCAUUUUGGGAUAACUCCGGGAAACCGGGGCUAAUACCAAAUACUCCAUCCCGGUGGCAUCACUGGGCUGGGAAAGAAUUUCGAUGAAGGUUGAUCUCGCGGCCUAUCAGCUAGUUGGUGAGGUAAUGGCUCACCAAGGCAACGACGGGUAGCCGGCCUGAGAGGGCGACCGGCCACACUGGGACUGAGACACGGCCCAGACUCCUACGGGAGGCAGCAGUGGGGAAUAUUGGGCAAUGGGCGCAAGCCUGACCCAGCGACGCCGCGUGAGGGAUGAAGGUCUUCGGAUUGUAAACCUCUUUCAGUGGGGAAGAAGCGAAAGUGACGGUACCCAAAGAAGAAGCACCGGCUAACUAUGUGCCAGCAGCCGCGGUAAUACAUAGGGUGCAAGCGUUGUCCGGAAUUAUUGGGCGUAAAGAGCUCGUAGGUGGUUUAUCACGUCGGAUGUGAAAUUCUGAGGCUCAACCUCGGACCUGCAUUCGAUACGGGCAAACUAGAGUGUGGUAGGGGAGACUGGAAUUCCUGGUGUAGCGGUGGAAUGCGCAGAUAUCAGGAGGAACACCAAUGGCGAAGGCAGGUCUCUGGGCCAUUACUGACACUGAGGAGCGAAAGCGCGGGGAGCGAACGGGAUUAGAUACCCUGGUAGUCCGCGCCGUAAACGGUGGGCACUAGUUGUGGGAACCUUCCACGGUUUCCGCGACGCAGCUAACGCAUUAAGUGCCCCGCCUGGGGAGUACGAUCGCAAGAUUA